rnacentral:rRNA from 1 species
GAUGAACGCUAGCGGGAGGCCUAACACAUGCAAGCCGAGCGGUAUUGUUUCUUCGGAAAUGAGAGAGCGGCGUACGGGUGCGUAACACGUGUGCAACCUGCCUUUAUCUGGGGGAUAGCCUUUCGAAAGGAAGAUUAAUACUCCAUAAUAUAUUGAACGGCAUCGUUUAAUAUUUAAAGCUCCGGCGGAUAGAGAUGGGCACGCGCAAGAUUAGCUAGUUGGUGAGGUAACGGCUCACCAAGGCGAUGAUCUUUAGGGGGCCUGAGAGGGUGAUCCCCCACACUGGUACUGAGACACGGACCAGACUCCUACGGGAGGCAGCAGUGAGGAAUAUUGGUCAAUGGGUGCAAGCCUGAACCAGCCAUCCCGGGUGAAGGACGACUGCCCUAUGGGUUGUAAACUUCUUUUGUAUAGGGAUAAACCUACCCUCGAGAGGGUAGCUGAAGGUACUAUACGAAUAAGCACCGGCUAACUCCGUG